GACGAACGCUGGCGGCGUGCUUAACACAUGCAAGUCGAACGGAAAGGCCCUGCUUUUGUGGGGUGCUCGAGUGGCGAACUGGUGAGUAACACGUGAGUAACCUGCCCUUGACUUUGGGAUAACUUCAGGAAACUGGGGCUAAUACCGGAUAGUAGCUCCUGCUUCAUGGUGGGGGUUGGAAAGUUUCGGCGGUUGGGGAUGGACUCGCGGCUUAUCAGCUUGUUGGUGGGGUAGUGGAUUACCAAGGCUUUGACGGGUAGCCGGCCUGAGAGGGUGACCGGCCACAUUGGGACUGAGAUACGGCACAGACUAAUACGGGAGGCAGCAGUGGGGAAUAUUGCACAAUGGGCGGAAGCCUGAUGCAGCAACGCCGCGUGCGGGAUGACGGCCUUCGGGUUGUAAACCGAUGUCGCCUGUGACGAAGAGUGAGUGACGGUAAUAGGUAAAGAAGCACCGGCUAAAUACGUG
rnacentral:rRNA from 1 species